rnacentral:siRNA from 1 species
UAAAAGUUUAGGGUGGAAUGUU